AAUGCGGCUUAGGAACAGUGGCUCGGGUUCUUUGCACUGUUCGCGUCAUCUUCUCCCCGCAGUCCCGACGCCCGCUUUCUCCUCUCCUCGCGAUCACCUUCAAGCCGGCGAUGACAGCAACUCCAGCGGUCCCUGUGAGCGGCGACGACAUCUCCUCAGUGUUCCUACCGACAGAGUGGUUCUGCUCUGGCACGGUGGAUUCCCUUCAUCUCCCGAUCCUCGUUGAAGAGCAGCAGCUCUAGAUCUAGGGUUUUCGCCGAAGUGUGGAGUUUCCAAGAGGAGGAAGCCAGCGGUCCUUAUUCUUCUUCGGCAAUCCCUUCUCUGAGUGCAUCACUGAGGCUGCUGUGGAGGAUUUUCUCUGUGGACGUGGUUGUGGAAGCAGUAACUCCAGCAAAUUUAGUGUGUAUCAAGUUCCGGCAAAGCAGUGAGCACCUUAUUCCCAAUUCCAAGCCGCCGUUUGUGUUAAUUGCCUUUAGUUCA